rnacentral:rRNA from 1 species
AGAAUUUGAUCCUGGUUCAGAUUGAAUGCUGGCGGCGUGGAUGAGGCAUGCAAGUCGAACGAGAACAUUAGCUUGCUAAUGUUCUAGUGGCGAAAGGGUUAGUAAUACAUGAGUUAUCUGCCUUCAACUUUGGAAUAACGGCUGGAAGCGGCCGCUAAUACCGGAUGUGGUCUACCACUGAUUGUGGUUUGAUUAAAGUAGGGGACCUUCGGGCCUUACGGUUGAAGAAGAGCUCAUGGGAUAUCAGCUAGUAGGUGUGGUAAGGCGCACCUAGGCUAAGUCGUCUAGGCGGAUUGAGAGAUUGACCGCCAACACUGGGACUGAGACACUGCCCAGACUCCUACGGGAGGCUGCAGUCGAGAAUCAUUCGCAAUGGGCGAAAGCCUGACGAUGCGACGCCGCGUGAGCGAAGAAGGCCUUCGGGUCGUAAAGUUCUUUCGCCUGGGAACAAGAGAGCACGAGUAACAUUCGUGUGAUUUGAGGGUACCAGGUAAAGAAGCACCGGCUAACUCCGUGCCAGCAGCUGCGGUUAUACGGAGGGUGCUAGCAUUAAUCGGAUUUAUUGGGCGUAAAGGGGGCGUAGGUGGAUGUGUAAGCCAGACGUGAAAUCCCAGGGCUCAACCCUGGAACUGCAUUUGGAACUACACAUCUAGAGGAUAGACGGAGAAAACGGAAUUCCACAUGUAGCGGUGAAAUGCGUAGAUAUGUGGAGGAACACCGGUGGCGAAAGCGGUUUUCUAGUUUAUUCCUGACACUGAGGCCCGAAAGCUAGGGGAGCAAACAGGAUUAGAUGCCCUGGUAGUCCUAGCCGUAAACGAUGCAUACUUGGUGUAGCCGGACUCAACCCCGGCUGUGCCGGAGCUAACGCGUUAAGUAUGCCGCCUGGGGAGUACGCUCGCAAGAGUGAAACUCAAAAGAAUUGACGGGGACCCGCACAAGCAGUGGGGCAUGUGGUUUAAUUCGAUGCAACGCGAAGAACCUUACCCAGACUUGACAUAUAGCUGAUCGCACCAGAGAUGGUGUUUUCCUUCGGGACAGUUAUACAGGUGCUGCAUGGCUGUCGUCAGCUCGUGCCGUGAGGUGUUGGGUUAAGUCCCGCAACGAGCGCAACCCUUAUCAUUAGUUGCCAGCACGUAAUGGUGGGAACUCUAAUGAGACUGCCUGGGUUAACCAGGAGGAAGGUGAGGACGAGGUCAAGUCAUCAUGGCCCUUAUGUCUGGGGCUACACACGUGCUACAAUGGUCGGUACAGAAGGCAGCGAAGCCGCGAGGUGGAGCAAAUCUUUAAAACCGAUCCCAGUUCGGAUUGUAGUCUGCAACUCGACUACAUGAAGUUGGAAUUGCUAGUAAUGGCGUGUCAGCAAUAACGCCGUGAAUACGUUCCCGGGUCUUGUACACACCGCCCGUCACAUCAUGGGAGUUGGUUUUACCCGAAGUCGCCGACCUAACCGCAAGGGAGGAGGCACCGAAGGUGAGGCUGAUGACUCGGAUGAAGUCGUAAUAAGGUA